AUUGAACGCUGGCGGCAUGCUUUACACAUGCAAGUCGAGCGAGCGGCGGACGGGUGAGUAAUGUAUGGGGACGUGCCAGAUGGAGGGGGAUAACUACUGGAAAGGGUAGCUAAUACCGCAUACCAUCAGAUGAACCCAUAUGGGAUUAGCUAGUUGGGGAGGUAACGGCUCACCGAGGCCACGAUCCCUAGCUGGUUUGAGAGGACGAUCAGCCACACUGGGACUGAGACACGGCCCAGACUCCUACGGGAGGCAGCAGUGGGGAAUCUUGGACAAUGGGCGCAAGCCUGAUGCAGCCAUGCCGCGUGUAUGAUGAAGGCCUUCGGGUUGUAAAGUACUUUCGGUCGGGAAGCGUUACCGACAGAAGAAGCACCGGCUAACUCCGUGCCAGCAGCCGCGGUAAUAC
rnacentral:rRNA from 1 species